rnacentral:lncRNA from 1 species
AUAAAAGUACCUAAGUUUUUUAAUCAACAUAGUAAGCCUUGGACAAAGCAGGAAAUCAAGGACAUCUGAAAUUACAUAGUAAUAAGAAACUACCAUCAAAAGAUAAGGAUAAAGUUUGCUAGGAUUCUGAAAGUGAAGUUGAAAAAAAAAAAAAAAUACUUGAGGAUCCCAGCCAGGCCAGCUAGUUCUGACAGAACAUAUUUUUAUAUGCUUACUUAAAGUGAAAGGACUAUACAAAAUGUCUUUAGGAUGAAGAGGCUGUUGGACAUUAUAUUAGAUUAGUAUUAUCUUCAUUUACAGUUUCAAUAUUAAGAGUGACUGUAAUAUAAAAAACGACUUUGCAGAAACUGUGUUGGGGUAUUUGAGGUCGGGGACCACAUCAUUCAUCUUUACAUGUGCAAUGCCUGGCCUAGUUGGGCCAGAUCCCUUCUAAUUGCCAGUUCAAAUCCAUUUGCUUCUUGACCCCCUUCAAUCCUCUGUCCUAGGUAGCUGAUCUUCCUAAACCAACAUCAACAGUUAUCCUUGCUCUUUGUUUCCUAUUAAACUUAGCUAAUGAGAAUGUCCAUCAGGGAUCAAAGUACUUCAGCAGAACAGCGAGGUCAGGAUUUUUAUCCCCUAGUAUUUUCGCUAUGUGAUUAGGCUGAGUUGGCUGUGUCCCAGGUCAACUGGGAUUACUACUUUCAAAGGGGCAUUCUAUAUACAUCAGUAUUUUUCAAACAUUAACAUACCUACAAAUUACCUUGGGAGUUUAUUAAAAUGCAGUUUUAAAUCUCAGGUUUAGGGUUAGAGAUGAAAAUUUUUCUUUCUAUUUAGUUUCAAGGUGAUACCAAUAUUGCAACUGUGUGAACCAUAUUUCAACUAGAAAGAUAUUAUAUGACUAUCUCUUUCUCUGAAUUCUGGUUUUGCCACAUCUCUUCUGGCCCAGGGAUGGAACUAUCACAGUUGCUAGGAAUUUGAAGCUUUUGUUCUAUCCACUGUAGUGUCUUACAAUAGACUGACACUUUUAAAUACUCCCCUUGGCUAUAAACCCAACCUUCCUUAGUAGAGACCUAAUGCUUCACUUGUGCUUUUACACACAGUAGGAAUUCAACAAAUGUUCAUGACAUUAACCUCUGAAUGAUUCUAUUAGAUUGUAAAGACGGAGAUAUUUUUCAUACAUUUUUCCAUAUAAUGUAUGUGUCAAAUAGCCCAUAAUACAUCAUUUGAAGGCACAAAAGAAUGACUUGAAUUUUAAUUAAGAAAUUUCCUUAGUUGAGAAAUCAGUGGAGACUUCAAAACUAAGUAACAUGUCUCAUUUUCUAAUGAUUUCAACAUAAUGGCACAGAAAAUUGAUAUCAAGGUAAAGAGGCAGCUACAUAAUUGAAACUGCAUAAUUUAGAGAGAAUUUGACAUUUUCCCUAGGCUUGUGAACCAAAUGGUAGCAAGUCAUACCAGUUGGCAUCAGACCAGCAAUUUGGGAAAUAAUAUGACAUUCUAGAAAGCAGUCUUUGUGAAACUUCUAUACAAUAUUCCAAAAUAGCUGAACUGUAACAUUUGCUAUCUAAGGGAAUUCCUUUUGCUUCAGAGUAUGUAUUUAAUUAAAAUUAGCAUUUAUGAAAUUUGGAAAUGCUAAGCAACUUAAACAGCAUAUGUAUUUAUUAAUGAAAUUUAGAUGUCCAAGUUAUGUUCAUCUUCUAGAAAAUAUCUGCCUAUGCCUCAUAUAUAAAAAGUCAGAAUAGAGAGAGAGCUGAAUUUAUUCAGCAAGUACAUAGAAAUUUCAUCACAUUCCUAUUAUAUGCCAGAAUCUGAAACAGAUUCUAUACCUGAGUUGAAUUUCACAUGGUUGCUCAUGAGAAAGGGGUCAGUUAACCUGAGUUUGAGCCCCAACUUUACUGUAAAAGAACUAAAUGGCAUGGGAAUCCACAAUUACCUUGCUGAAAGUAUUGUAAAAGCUAGUGUAAGCGAAAACACCUUUACCGUGAAAUAUGCACUGAGAAUUUUUAUAAGUAUGUGAUAUACAUGAGAUGUUUUAUAAAUAUGUCAAAGAGGACCCUAAUUAAAAGAUCAGUGUAAAGAUAUUCGUAAUACUGACAUAUACAUCUUGAUUCUUAUUGACUUCUGCUUCCUGCUUUCUUUCAUAGAAAAGAGAUAAGAAGACAUACUUAAGGAAUGUAUGGCUUUUCAAUGCCAUCUUUAGAAACUGUUUCAUUCAAUUUUCUUAAUAGACUUUACUUCUCAGAGUACUUUAAGUUUCACAGCUAAAUUGUGCAGAAAAUAGAGAGUUCCUAUAUAUAUAUUUCCCCCUCCCUCACAUACACCCUCCCUCACGAUCAGCCUCCCACACCAGAAUGGUGCAUUUGUCACAAACAAAGAACACACACUGAACCAUCAUUCUCAUGCAGAGUCUGUAGUUUACACAGCAUUUCACUCCUGGUGUUGCACAUUCUAUAGGUUUUGAAAAAUAUGUCAUGACAUGUUAUCCACAUUUACAGUAUUAUAUGGAAUAGUUUCACAGCCCUAAAAACCCACUGUCCUUUGCCUUUUCAUCCCUUUCUCCUGACAAUCAGUCCUUUUUUUUUUUUUUAAAUAAUCUCCAUAGUUUUGCCUUUUCUGGGAUGUUAUACAGUUGAAAUCAUAUAAUAUACAGCAUUUCAGAUUGGCUUCUCUCACGGAGUAACAGGCAUUCAAGUCUCCAUCAUGCCUUUUCAUGACUUGAUAGCUUAUUUCUUUUUCGCUCUAGACAACAUCUUUGUUUGAAUGUACCACAGUUUAUCCAUUCAUCUGCUGAAAGACGUCUUGGUUGCUUCCAAGUUUUAGAAAUUAUGAAUAAAGUGGCUAUAAAUAUCAGCUGGAGUCUAGUCUCAGCCUGAUUCCAGAGCAAGCCUGAUGUCUAAAUGGCCCCACAGCUUUGAAUUAACUAGAGUUUUGUACAGUAUCCCUUCAUUAUUGGAUGCAAGCUACCCCAGCGAAGGACAUGGACUCGCAAGAAUUUCUUAGCGAUUUUCCAAGAGUAAUUAAUUCUUUAAAGAAAGUGCAGCUGUGAGAUGUCAGCAGUGAACAGUGGAAGCACACUGCAGCUGGGGCAUGGGUAUACUCAACCAGUGAUCCUAGACAGGCACCAAGAGCAUCUAAGAGAACAUCCUUGCACCACUACAUCCAGUUGCUUCUCCAUUAAGUUUAUUUCAUCCAGGCACAACUCUGGUUGGUCACAAUUUUGGGAGAAACAUAUAUGACGAGGCAAAUUGGUGGUGGAACUAGAGAUUAUCAUACUCAGUGAAGUACGUUAGAAAGAGACAAAUAUAUGAUAUCACUUAUAUAUGGAAUCUAAAAAAAAAAUGACACAAAAGAACCUGUGAAACAGCAACAGACUCGUAGACAUAGAAAACAAAGUUGUGGUUGCCAAGAGGGAGGGGUUGGGGGAGGGAUGGAGUGAGAGGUUGGAGUUAGCAGAGGUAAGCUAUUAUACAUGGAGGGGAAAAUCAACAAGAUCCUACUGUGCAGCACAGAGAAGUGUAUUUAAUGUCCCAUGAUAAAUCACAAUGGAAAAGAAUAUUUUUUAAAAGAAUAUAUAUGUAUAACUGAAUCACUUUGCUGUAUAGCAGAAAUUAACACAAUACUGUCAAUCAACUAUACUUCAAUUAAAAAAAAAACAGAAUGGUAGAAUAAAUUCCUCUGCUCCUGCAGUGGCCCCAAUGCUAUAAACAAUAUAUCAUCCUUUUUUCUGGUGACCUUUCUAUUUUCUCUUCUUCCUCCUUGGCUAGCACUUCUACUGGUCUAGAUGGUCUUCAAAGUGGAACGCCAGACUCUCACUGCUGAGAGGCUUAGCAUCCUGGUUGCUUGCCCUUGUAUCAGUCUAUAGCUGCUACACCCGCCCAUUUAAAGGUAAACUUGGGUUAAGAACAUCAAGAGAUGCAUUCGCACAUCAGCUGAGUGCAAACAUAUCCCUCCCUGGCAGCAUUACAUAACAGCAUAGCUACUUCAAGUAUUGGAAUUCCUGUCUUUGCUGGCCUUCUGUAUCAUAUUGAUCAGGGGGUGGACAUGACAGUGAGGUGAGUGGGACCUCAUGUGUUUUGGUAGGAAGGGUUCCCAUGUGGGAACAUGGACAUCCAGACUCCCCGAGCCUACAUGUGGGGAAGGAACAGGAAGCCCUAAUACCGCAAGUGAUCAGUGGAAGUGAGGGUAAGCAUGGCUACACAUAUGCUCAAAUCAUGUUUCCCAUAUCAUUUUUCUGCCUAUUGCUGUACUUUUCUCAAUAGAUGGAAUAUACUGUAUCCUGAAAAAUGCUGUGUACUCAGCACAUGACAUCACCAGGCUGAUGGCACAGCUGCAUAUUUUAAAGGCAAUUCCACUGCUCACUCCUCUAGCAAGUCCUGUACGGUGGGAUCUGUAGUAACAACAACGGCUCUCAGAGUCGUGUGCCCAGGGAUGUUUCUCUUUUGCCUUAAAUUGGGUUCCCUGAUCCAAAGCAGAAGUAUGCAAUAUCCUAGGUCAGUAGGUCAGAAAUUCCCUAAGUCCUCACAUGGUGCUUAGCCCCUGAGGACCAGAAACAGAAGCACAGAUGGAGAAUGUGUCUGUACCUGUCAGGAGGUCAUUGCCUUCCAAGGAAAGGAGAUGUCCAGUGUCAUCAACUUUCCACCAAGUGUCUGGCUGUUCUCCCUCAACGAUGGCCCAGAGUGGGUCUCAUUUGCUGACAGCUGAAUACUUUGCAGUCACAGGAGCUAAAUCAGAUUUUAUGAGGAGGAACCCAUACUCUGAGGACUAUUUCAGACCUUCACUGGCCAUGGGCAGUUCUCUGCCACUAUGGCUACUCCAUUCAUAAGCCCAGUGCACAAGCACCAGGGUGGCCAAGGAGAGAAUCUUGCCAACAUCAACUACCUGAGUUAUUCUCCUCCUUAUUUAUUAUCUUUGUGUGUGUGCGGUAGGCCCUCACUGGUAGCCAUUAACCUGUGAUAUAAGAUCCCUACACUAUACAGUGGUCACAAUUUUGGUCACAAUUUUGUUAAGUCCUUAAGCCCUAUCCCAUGAGGUCUUUGUCUCAGUCUUUCCAUCUUGCCCCAAGGUACCACUUAAUAAGUUUGAGACAUAUAGUACUAGGUUAGUCUAAAUGGAUGAAGGAGACAUCAGAGAGUAGUUAAACCUUCCGUUAGAAACAGGAGAGGCAGGAAUUCCCAUCGUGGCUCAGUGGAAAUGAAUCUGACUACUAUCCAUGAGGACACAGGUUCCAUCCCUGGCCUCGCUCAGUGGGUCAAGGAUCUGGCGUUGCUGUAAGCUGUGGCGUAGGUCACAGACACGGCUCAGCUACAGCAUUGAUUCAACCCCUAGCCUGGGAACCUCCCUAGGCCAUGGGGUG